rnacentral:sRNA from 1 species
AUCGCGGUCAUCAAGUACUGGGGCAAGCGCGAUGAAGAGCUGGUUCUGCCCAUCAACUCCUCCCUGAGCGUCACUCUGCACCAGGACCAGUUAAAAACCACCACAACAGCCGUCAUCAGCAAGGACUUCACCGAGGACCGGAUUUGGCUGAAUGGCCGGGAGGAGGAUGUGGGGCAGCCGCGGCUCCAGGCCUGCCUGCGGGAGAUCCGCUGCCUGGUCCGGAAGCGGAGGAACUCACGGGAUGGGGACCCGCUGCCCUCCAGCCUCAGCUGCAAGGUGCACGUGGCAUCGGUGAACAACUUCCCCACAGCUGCGGGCCUGGCCUCCUCGGCGGCGGGCUAUGCCUGCCUAGGUACCUUUUGUUGCCCUUGUCGCAGGCCGCAAGCUCUGCAGGCCGUGAACAGAGAGUGUCCGAGAGCGGAACUAGCGGAGGUGGGGGACAGACAGCUGGGCCGGUGAAUGCUGGCCUCAAAGGCUGAUGGCCCAGAAGCCCUGUCAUCUGGAAAUCCCCAUUUGCCGUGGGGUGUGGGACGUUCCUGGGGCGGUGAGCUGUCAGGGAGCACGGCGCAGGCAGCUCUGAGGACCCUCCCUGAAUCCGCAUGCCUGCAGCCUACACCCUGGCCCGUGUCUACGGCGUGGAGAGUGACCUCUCAGAAGUGGCUCGCCGGGGCUCAGGCAGCGCCUGCCGGAGCCUGUAUGGGGGCUUUGUGGAGUGGCAGAUGGGAGAGCAGGCCGACGGGAAGGACAGCAUCGCUCGGCAAGUGGCCCCCGAGUCACACUGGCCUGAACUCCGCGUGCUCAUCCUUGUG